UGAGAGAAGACAACAGUAGCGGUGUGUUAAAGCUCCGGCCCUCCCUGCCUGUGUACUACUCGGAGGAGACAUGGGCAGAUCUCCCACAAGACAUCGGUGCCGUGUUCACCCUACAGCAAUCAUCGGCCGUGACCUACGUGAGGGACCAGGCACUACGACCGGUGGAGAUUGUAGCGAGUCUUCCAGACAGGCUAUUGAGUAAGACCGACAGCCAAUCAGAAGAUCUCAGCCUCGCUCACGUGACCGAGCUCAUCCCGGAGACAGUAGAGAGCACUGAGUCCGCUCCCGCCGUCAAAAAGACGUCCACGUCUCCUGCAAGAGUGACGUCCAGACGUACAGAUUCCAGACAGAGAGCACUAAACUUUUCAUGAUGAAGUUUUCUUUAGUAGCUAGUUCGUAACGGAACAUAUGAAAUAUUUCACUAGUUUUCAACUAACGACAGUCAGACGACUCGAGUCUUUACCACUGACAUCGAUCCUAUGUCCUUGUUUUGACACGUAUCUUUCUUUUCACACGUAACAGAAAAGAAGACGUACACACCAUGCAUGGCGGACUAUAACAAGAAUAAAUUACUAAUGACAAAAUUGCCCCUGGUUGUGUUCAUUGGAAGGGUGAGAAGUUCCGACCAAAGGACGACAUGUUAAAAGACUUGACAGAUUGUCUUCAGUCAUCCAUAUGAUCUAAACAAGAAGAUCGAUCCAUAAGCGUGAGGCCGUAAAUAAUCCACCUGAUUGUCAUGGAAGAAUAAAGAUAAGGGUUUGGGAACUCUGUUUACUAUACAGUAUUUCAAUAUCACUUAACGAAAGUGGAACAAAUACGACUGUUUCAAGUACUUUCAAUUUUUUGUUUUACUUUUUAAAAGUUGGCGUGUGAGACCCACGCAUUUGCAAGUUCGUAAGUUAAUGAUUAUAUCUGCCCACGCCUACUGUUCUUCUGAAUCAUGGAAGGUACAGCGUAGAGGCAAAUAUUGACAAUACGUUACGGACCGUAUAUGAUAUUGCCUGUUAACUGACCUUUAUAACAGUGUGAUGACUACAUAUUAUUAUGGUGAGUAGCACAGUUGGUUACAUGAGUUGGUCUGCUCAAUUGAAAUACACCAUAUCUCUGUCUACUAUACAGUAUAUUGACUCAAUUGAAAUACAUCAUAUCUCUGUCUACUAUA